GACGAACGCUGGCGGCGUGCUUAACACAUGCAAGUCGAACGGAAAGGCCCUGCUUUUGUGGGGUGCUCGAGUGGCGAACGGGUGAGUAACACGUGAGUAACCUGCCCUUGACUUUGGGAUAACUUCAGGAAACUGGGGCUAAUACCGGAUAGGAGCUCCUGCUGCAUGGUGGGGGUUGGAAAGUUUCGGCGGUUGGGGAUGGACUCGCGGCUUAUCAGCUUGUUGGUGGGGUAGUGGCUUACCAAGACUUUGACGGGUAGCCGGCCUGGGAGGGUGACCGGCCAACUUGGCUCUGGGUACCGGCCCAGACGCUGUCGGGAGGCAGAAGGGGGGAAAAUUGCGCGAGGGGCGGGCGCACGAUGCAACAACCCCCCGUGGGGGGUGUCGGCCUUCGGGUUGAACCCCGUUUCCGCGUGAAGCGAAGCGUGAUUGGCGGUAAGGGGAAAAGAAGCACCGGCAACCGACUU
rnacentral:rRNA from 1 species